rnacentral:rRNA from 1 species
GGUCAGGAUGAACGCUAGCUACAGGCUUAACACAUGCAAGUCGAGGGGCAGCAUUUAGUUGCUUGCAAACUGAGGAUGGCGACCGGCGCACGGGUGAGUAACACGUAUCCAACCUGCCGAUAACUCCGGAAUAGCCUUUCGAAAGAAAGAUUAAUACCGGAUAGCAUACGAAUAUCGCAUGAUAUUUUUAUUAAAGAAUUUCGGUUAUCGAUGGGGAUGCGUUCCAUUAGUUUGUUGGCGGGGUAACGGCCCACCAAGACUACGAUGGAUAGGGGUUCUGAGAGGAAGGUCCCCCACAUUGGAACUGAGACACGGUCCAAACUCCUACGGGAGGCAGCAGUGAGGAAUAUUGGUCAAUGGGCGAGAGCCUGAACCAGCCAAGUAGCGUGAAAGGAUGAAGGCUCUAUGGGUCGUAAACUUCUUUUAUAUGGGAAUAAAGUUUUCCACGUGUGGAAUUUUGUAUGUACCAUAUGAAUAAGGAUCGGCUAACUCCGUGCCAGCAGCCGC